UUUUAUUUCAUGUGACAUUGCUCUUAGCUGUACUUAUCUGAUGGGUUUAAAUUGCAUUUUUGGUGCUAAUUUUCUUCUUUCAUACACUAAAGAGUACAUUAAGACCAAGGAACAAAAUGCCGAUAAUAUCGGCGAUAUUUCGCCGAUAUUAUCCGUUUUUCACGGUACCGAUAUUUUAAUAGGUAUCCAACGGGUUUUCGUCAAAAUAUCGCGAUAUUAUCGAUAAUAUCGCGAUAUUUCCGAAACUAUCGCGAUAUUUUGGAACUGUGCUACUCGGAGAAGAACGCUGGAGCUUCUACAGCUCCGGCCGAUUACAAACGCAAACCUUAGACUCCGAUCUAAUUACCAACGUGAAGAGGAAAGAGAGAGGAGUAAGUUUAUACCCCUGGUUCGCCGUGAAAUGGCCGAAGGUGUUCGGAAAGCUCCUCAACAGUCACGGGUUCGCCGGAGUUGGGUGAGCUUUCCCCCGACCUGAUCUCGUUCCAUAACACACACCCAAGCUUACCUAACCGGAGAAAAUGAAGAAAACUCGCCGGAGGUUUCUGGGUUUCGUCGAUCUUGCAGAGACAAGAGGAAGAGAGAGAAAGACGAGGUUUUGAUGGUGAUGCUGUCUACGGAACGAUGGUGUGGGUGCCGUGUACUAGGGUAAUCACGGGAGAAAGAGUGAGAGUGAUGAGAGGGUUUCGAGAGAGAAGAGAGUGUGCAGAGAAGGAAAGAAAGAGAAGAAGAAAGAAAGGGGGUUUCAGGUAGGAUCUGGUUGAUCUCGGUGACGAUGGUGACGAAGCCGGAGGAGGAAGAGGAGGAGGAGGGGAGGCGGCGGAGGGAGAAGGAGUAGGAGGAAACGAAGAGGGUUUUGCAGGGGCGGAGAUUGCGAAGAGGGAGAAGAGGGCGAUAAGGAAGAGGAGGGAUCAUUGACUCGUUUUCUUUGUCUUUUCUUCUUUCUCGUUUCAAUUGGCAAUUUCGGGAUUUAAGCAAGUUUCAGGCCCCCAAAUGCCGUGUACUAGGGUAAUCACGGGAGAAAGAGUGAGAGUGAUGAGAGGGUUUCGAGAGAGAAGAGAGAGUGUGCAGAGAAGGAAAGAAAGAGAAGAAGAAAGAAAGGGGGUUUCAGGUAGGAUCUGGUUGAUCUCGGUGACGAUGGUGACGAAGCCGGAGGAGGAAGAGGAGGAGGGGAGGCGGCGGAGGGAGAAGGAGUAGGAGGAAACGAAGAGGGUUUUGCAGGGGCGGAGAUUGCGAAGAGGGAGAAGAGGGCGAUAAGGAAGAGGAGGGAUCAUUGACUCGUUUUCUUUGUCUUUUCUUCUUUCUCGUUUCAAUUGGCAAUUUCGGGAUUUAAGCAAGUUUCAGGCCCCCAAAUGCCGUGUACUAGGGUAAUCACGGGAGAAAGAGUGAGAGUGAUGAGAGGGUUUCGAGAGAGAAGAGAGUGUGCAGAGAAGGAAAGAAAGAGAAGAAGAAAGAAAGGGGGUUUCGGGUAGGAUCUGGUUGAUCUCGGUGAUGAUGGUGACGAAGCCGGAGGAGGAAGAGGAGGAGGGGAGGCGGCGGAGGGAGAAGGAGUAGGAGGAAACGAAGAGGGUUUUGCAGGGGCGGAGAUUGCGAAGAGGGAGAGGAGGGCGAUAAGGAAGAGGAGGGAUCGUUGACUCGUUCUCUUUGUCUUUUCUUCUUUCUCGUUUCAAUUGGCAAUUUCGGGAUUUAAGCAAGGUUCAGGCCCCCAAAUCAUCUACUUAUAUUGCCC
rnacentral:lncRNA from 1 species